AGAAUCAACGCUGGCGGCGUGCCUAACACAUGUAAGUCGAACGCGAAAGGGAGCAAUCCCUGAGUAGAGUGGCAAACGGGUGAGUAACACGUGGGUGACCUGCCUUCGAGUGGGGGAUAACGUUCCGAAAGGAACGCUAAUACCGCAUGACAUCCUGCUUUUGGAAAAGCGGAGAUCAAAGCUGGGGAUUCGCAAGAACCUAGCGCUUGAAGAGGGGCCCGCGCCUGAUUAGCUAGUUGGUGAGGUAACGGCUCACCAAGGCUACGAUCAGUA
rnacentral:rRNA from 1 species